rnacentral:lncRNA from 1 species
UCUUUAUUCACACUCAAUUCGUACAUGUAACAACCGAUUUCACAUUUAAUAUUUCUAUUCGUUUAGAAUUCAUUAAUUUAUUUUUUUCCCGAAGAACUAUAGCAAAUUAACUUCAGAUACAUGGGACUGAAAUUGCUCAUACGAGCUGUGAAUAUAAUUGCUCACACGAGCUAUAAAUAUAAUUUCUCAUAUGAGCUGUAAAUCGGGAAAUUAACCUUUACUCGCUGCUGCUCACAUGAUUUGAGGAGAAUCUACAACACAUGCAAUAUCUCAGCCAUCGAUAAGGUAUCCAACACCGGUACAUAGUACCUGAUGCAAUAUCAACAACAAUACAAAGUAUCUAUUGCAUUUUUAGACCAUAAUGACAUAUCAUUUGUAUCCUAAUCGAUUACUAAGUUCACACAGGUGUUAAAACUAUAUUAAAAACAUUUUACACUAUAAAAUCAUUCUAUACAUAUUUUCAUAUCAUAUAAACAUUUCAUAUUCGCAAAGUACUAAUAUUGUAUUCAUACCAACUCAAACACUGCAACUGUAUACAUGUUUUUCGUAUUUCAAAAAGCAAUCCAAAUACAUUUUAAACCAUACGAUAUCAUAAAAUACACAUUUUCCAAUUAUAUAACAAUUUCACAUUCAUUCAAUAUCUCACAUCUAUUCCCAUUUAUCAUAUAUUUCAUAUUGUACAAUUUAAUCCAUUUGAUGCCAAAAACUUUAUAUAUAUAACAUUUCUAACUAAUAAAAAAACAAAAUAAGACAAACAUACCAAAAAUUAAUAAAGUAAGUUCAUACGAACUUACCUGUCAAAAAAAAACAACCAAUGAGAAGUUGAGGACUAAUCUGUAAUAUCUCCUAUUUCUCGAUUAUCAUCCAAUUGAGCCAAAAUUUGAUCUAUAAUAAUUCAUUUUAAUCAGCAAUUUUAAACAUAUUUUAACAACUUAUCACAAACAUAUAUCAAAUCAAUUUCAUUUUUUAGAUGUCCCCUAAAAUUUUGCAUAUUAUUCAAUUUAGUCCCUAAAAACGUAAAAGCCAUAUCUUUCAAUUUUGAGCUCCGAUUUUUAAACCAAUUUUAAAUAAAAUCUUCUAAAGCUCUCUAGAAACAAUAAUUACAGAAAUUUCAUGUCAAAUUUAACAUAUUUACAUUUUAUUCCUUAUACUCAAAACUAUAAAUUUUCUUUUACAAACUAGUCCCUAUUUCAUUUCCAAGCUUAUAAACUAACAUAUUAACACCAAAAGCUUCAAAUUUCAUCAAUGGAAAAUUUACUAAAUUUUGAAUUGAUACACUUGUACAUUGACUAACAUUCCACAUAAACAAAUUAUUAGACCGAAAUUCAGUAUAAUAGUGUAAUAAACACAUAAAUAUUAAUAAAAAAUAUUUACUAAUUCGAUCAUCGAAAAAUAAAGUUCUGAAAUUAUCGUUUCUGGUAUCGCUGAAAAUUAGGUUGUUACAAAUACCACUGAGUUGAUUACUCAGCAUUCGGUUUGUUUUCCGUGCACAGGAUAGGUUUCAAUCGUGAUUCUCUUUUUGAUGUAAGCAUCUAGUCGUAAUCCCGAGCUCUUCAAAGUUGGUGAAAUUCUUUGUUAGUUUUAUGGUAUAUAACUAGGAGAGUCCUUUAUAUUUUGCUAAUUUGAAGGUUAAUUUUGGAGAUUGAUAAAACUUGUAUGAAUGUUAAUGUUAGGUUGAUAUGAUAUGAAUCAUAGGUUCAUAAUUGAAUGUUUUGGCACUAUGAUGAAUCAUAUUUGUGAGUCUUCAUGAAUGGUAGUUGAUGGUACAAUGGUAUGCUUUGAGCCUAGAGAUAGUAAGGUUUGAUGUAUUGAUUUAAUGGUUUGAAAGCAUGGAAAAGUAGUUAUAUUCUAAUAUGUUUUUUGAUGUGUUUUUGUGCCAAAUUAAGGCAUGUUGAUUUGGUUGUUUAUGCAAAUGGUAGAAUGAUGAAAUGGUUGCAUUUUGGUUAAUUUUAUGUAGGUUUUAAGUGUGUCUAAUGGCAUCUUUUGAAUCAAAAUUGGUUUGAACAUGAAAUUGGCACGAAAUGGAAGUUUUUGACCUUUUUGGUACUAAGGUAUCGAUACCUUAAUAAAGGUAUCAACACUUAAUUUUUUUAGUUCAAUUAGAUUUUUAAUAGAAUGUAAAAAUGACAUCGGUACUGAAUUAAAGUAUCGAUACUCUAUAUUAGGGUAUACUCUAUAUUAGGGUACCAAUACUUCAAAAUGGUAUUGAUACAUUUGGUUUUUGAUUAACUUUUACAAAAGAAACAUAAUCGUAAAUGGUAUCGAUACUAUAACUUGGUAUUGAUACGCAUACAUGAGUAUCGGUACCUUAAGUCAAGUAUCGAUACUUGUGUUUUAAAGAUGAAUUUUUCAAUCAUCGAAGCAAGAUUUAGUAUUAGUACCUAUCAGAAGUAUCGGUACCUAUUCCAAAAUUUUGAAAGUUUAUAAACUAGCCCUAUUUCAUAUUCGAAUAAACAAUUUAGUUCUCAUAAGUUCGAUUGACUCUCAAAUAUUCUACUUAUUAUAUAAUAAUUGUAAUUAGGUAAUGUUUGAUGGUUUAUGUAAAUGAUUCACUAUGUUUCGAUGGUAAUUUCUCCGGUAAUGAUCAUAGCAUUCCAUAACCCAGACUUGUCAAUCGGGUCAGGCGAGGGGUGCUACAUCAUGUCAUGUGGCCCAUGGUUAACUUAGAUGUUUAACACUUAUGCAAUGUUUGGUAAGAGUAUCAUUUUUUUCCACAUGUUUUAGUCAUCGGUUAGUUAUAAACUAAUCAAAAAUUAUAAUUUUUAGCCAUUCUAAUGCCUUGUUUGCGGCAAAGAGAAGAAAAAUUUUCACUUAUUUUAAAGAAGUCUUAUUUUUUACAAGAGUUUUUACUCAUCUUUCUAAUUGCAUAUUUAAAUUUGCACUGACUAUUCUUUAUAUUAUAUCCAACUAUUGUAAUACAUGUAAUAAAUAAACUUUUUACUCAUAUUAUUUCAUGAGCAACCAAACGAGUAAUUAGUCUUUUUAACUUGUUAAGGUUUUAAGACAUUUCACUUCAUAAUGCAUUUUUAAUUUUAAAAUCAUAAGAAAAUUAUAUUAUCAAUAUUUUACUUUAUUUGGUCUAUAGUAAACACUUAUAAAUGACUUGGAUGCAUAGGAUUCCAUCCAUAACACACCAAGAAGCACAUAGUGCUAGGUACCAUAUCUCAUUCCUCCAUACACAAACCAAAUUGCACAUAAGUGCAUCCAUACAAACACAACCAAAGUGCAUUAAUAUGUGUAAAGCCCGAAGGCAACAAAACUCUAGAUACAAAACUCCAUGUACACAUCAAUCCCUAUUGUAUCCUAACUAUUUCACUAGGUUUACUAGGGAACUUAAAGUCACAAAUAACAUAUAUCAAUCAAGGCCAUUAACACAUUUAUUAUUCAAAUACAGACAUAUCUAGAGUUUCGAGAUUCAAAGAUUUAUUAGACAACACAUUAUCUAAUCACACAUAUGUGCACAUUAAAUACCUCACACAUAUACAAUUUCAUAUAAGGGCACCUUAAGUGCUUUCACAUAUACAUUCAUAAUUUUUACCUUUUCGUUUAGGUAAUAUAAACAUAUUCAUUUUCAUAUAAUGGUUUCCAUGAUUCCUAGGUAACAUUUCCUUUCAUUUAAGAACUUUUGCAUAACCACUUUCAAGAAAGGAGUCAUUAUGACCUCAAUUACCUAUUUUCCAUAUUUCAAGUUCAUUAGUCAAUCAUGAUAAUUAUAACAAUGUACUAAUCCUUAAAUUUUUCAUGAAGGGUUAUUGAUACAUAAACCUUGUUGAUACCAUCUUACUCAAAUUUCACAAAUUUCAAAAUAUUUUUUAUAGUUAUUCUUGUCAACCAAAUUUCUCACAAUAUAUUACUAGGAAUUAUCACCAUUUUUAAUCAAGGCUUAUUAAGCCAUAACUUUUCAAACCAUUUAUUUUUAACACUUUAAUUUAUAGAAUUUACAGAUAUACAUUACAAUAUCAUUUUCAGAUUUAUUUCACAAUUUAUACAUUUUUCCCUAAUCAUAGAAGCUUAAGAUGAGUAUCCAAAGGUACUUACCUCUUGGAUGCAUUUUCACUUGAUUUCAAGCUUUCAAACACUUGAUUCCAAGCUUGAAAUUCCAUUUCUUAACAUUUCCUCAUUUUUCCAUAUACAAAAAUAGAAUAAAAAAAUCAACACAUGAACUUUUCAAACUUUCCUAAAAUAACUAUACUCAAAUAUCAAGCUAGGAGAGUUAAAAAAAACAUCAUUCUUACCUUUAUAAAGCUUUCUCUCUCUAGCCUCAAUUUUCUCUCUCAAGCUCAAGAAAAUUCUUGCUUCCAAAGGUGAAGAUGAUAGUGAAAUCAAACUUAGAAAUGAAUUCUCCAUAAGAUUUUAAUAGAAAAAAAUAACAUGUGGAAUGGAAAUUCAAGGUUGAAUUUGAGAGAAAAUAAGAAAAGAUGAAAAGAGAAAUCUUCUCUCUUCAAGAGGGGGUGGAUAAGAG